GUCUCUUUGAUUUUUAAUAAUAAAGAGUUGGGCCUGCUCGGUGAGUAAUUUUAACAGCUGCGGUAUUAUAACUGUACUAAGGUAGCAUAAUAAUUUGCCUUAUAAAUUGAGGCUAGAAUGAAUGGUUUGACGAAAAUUAUACUGUCUCUAUUUUAAUUGAUAGAAGUUAAUUUUUAAAGUGAAAAAGCUUAAAUAGUUUAAAGGGACGAGAAGACCCUAUUGAGCUUUUAUUAAGUUUAUAAUUUUAUAUAAGUAUAUUAAUAAUAUAUUUAAUAUUAGUUAUAGUAGUUUAAUUUUGGUUGGGGUGAUCAAGGAAUAAUGAUGUAGUAACUUCCUUAAUUGUUUGAUUUAAUUAAAUAAUAAACCAAUGUUAUUGCUUAUAGAUAAGUUACCAUAGGGAUAACAGCGUAAUUUUCUUUGAGAGUUCAUAUUGAAAAGAGAGAUUGCGACCUCGAUGUUGGAUUAAAAUAACCAUUAAGUGAAGAGGCUUUAUUAGGUAAAUCUGUUCGAUUUUUAAAAUUUU
rnacentral:rRNA from 1 species